rnacentral:tRNA from 1 species
GCGCCCGUAGCUCAGUUGGAUAGAGCGCCGGUUUCCUAAACCGGAGGUCGUGGGUUCAAAUCCCGCCGGGCGUACCA